GGUUCUUUGAGUCAGUUUUUCCGGGACAGUGCUGUUUUCUCACACCUGCAGACCGCGGGCACGUGGGAAAACAGGAAACGGGAUGGCUGUUGGGGGUAGCUACGAUCUUUGGAAUGACUGUCGUCUCAAAUUCUAAAACCCUUUGGGAAGUGCUGGUCCUGAGCGUGGAUGCUCGGCAUGGUUAACGACAGGCGUGCCUGGACCUUGUGUAGUAUACCUUCCUCUCCCCGGCUUGGAGACAGGGUCAGGCAUGAGAACCUGCCUCACUGGCCUGGAGCCGUGUUUACCUGACCGACUUCGGAUAAGGUUCACCCUACCACCUUUGUGUCCUUACCGCCAAAAGAAAACAGAAAACCACAUGUAUUCCAAGUUCAAUUUGUGUUGCCCAUAUUUUCAUUGGAGCAUAGUCAAACUCCCAGUGGCCAACUCCUUAAAGAUAACUGAGGCCUUUUGCCCAUGCCAGAAGCCAUCAACUGUGAGGAGCUACACUUCAGCAUCCCUGUCACAAUUUUUGAGGACUCUUCAAUGGCUUUCUGUCUAGACUAUUUCUUUUGUGGGGAGCAGCGGGUUGUCACAGAAACCUUCAAUAUCUCUUGCUCUCAGUUAUGAGUCUACAGUCGUCGACACCAUUGCAAAAGAAACUUCCUUGCCCAUAAGCCCAUAACAGCCAGGAACAACAUAGAACACAGACCUCAACAUGGUCCCCAGUGACAUCAUGGCCAGAUUACAGAUACCAAAGGACAGCCACAUGGCCUCUGGCAUUAAUGUGGACCAAGGACACCAACAUGGCCUCCGGAGGCAGUGUGGACAUGGAAGUCUUUUGAGGAGGCCCAAUCCAGAAAAUGAAUCCUUCUCCACCGUGGACUUCGUGCUGUUGCUCACGGGAGGGCAAUUGCACAUGCAGCUGCAAGGCAUGUUGAGGGGCAGAGGCUCUGUGAGCUCCAGACUGCUGCACGCUACCCUGCCUGCACUCCUCAGGAUGACAUGCUCCUUCCAUCCACAGCAGCCAUGCUUCCACACCUGCUGUCAGCACCGUCUAGUUCUGCCUCUCUCUGACAUAUGCAUGCCACUCUGUUCACCAGCCUUCCCACGCUCCAGCUCACGUUCAUUCAUUGAAGUGGCUUUGCAAGCUGCACUGUGUUACACAGUGUAUGUUUUUUCCCAAACAGCAUUACAUACAAAUACUUGUUGCAACAAUUCACUGGUCUGUUUCAAGGUUUCUGGUUUCUGAAGCACAAAUACUGAACUGUUGCUGAGACUAGCCCCAGAUAACCUGUUGCCCAGAGUCAGGGUGAUCUUGCAUCUGCUCCGGGCAUCUGAAGGUAGGAUCCAAAAAGAGCUUUAUUCAAUGCCCGACUCUGUGUCCGCCCUAACAUCUUCCCAACUUGAUGGUCAAACCCUUUAGUUCAAAAUAUAAAAGUAGAACUUAAAAAGAAAUAGACUCACUAAAGAAAACACAAACCGGACAAAAACACCUUCAGAAGUAUGCCUCAUCAACAGAUUAAGACAUGGGAGAGAAAAUUUCAAUUCUGAAGACAAGGUAGAAUGGAUAGCUUAGUUAAAGAAAAUGUUAAUUAUGAAAAAUAAAGGCAUAAAACACCCAGAAAAUCUGGGUUGUAUAAAAAGCAAGUUAAGUAGACUAGUAAACAGCAUCCUCCACAGUCUCUGCUUUAUUUCCUGCCUCUGUGUUCCUAUUUGAGCUCCUGACCUGACUUCCCUUGGUGGUGGACUCUAUCCUGUACAACAUAAUAAACCCCUUCCUCUGUAA